UAGUGGCGAACGGGUGAGUAACACGUGAGUAACCUGCCCUUGACUCUAGGAUAAGCCCGGGAAACUGGGUCUAAUACUGGAUAGGAACGUCUACCGCAUGGUGGAUGUUGGAAAGAAUUUCGGUCAUGGAUGGACUCGCGGCCUAUCAGCUUGUUGGUGAGGUAAUGGCUCACCAAGGCGACGACGGGUAGCCGGCCUGAGAGGGUGACCGGCCACACUGGGACUGAGACACGGCCCAGACUCCUACGGGAGGCAGCAGUGGGGAAUAUUGCACAAUGGGCGAAAGCCUGAUGCAGCGACGCCGCGUGAGGGAUGACGGCCUUCGGGUUGUAAACCUCUUUCAGUAGGGAAGAAGCGAAAGUGACGGUACCUGCAGAAGAAGCACCGGCUAACUACGUGCCAGCAGCCGCGGUAAUACGUAGGGUGCGAGCGUUAUCCGGAAUUAUUGGGCGUAAAGAGCUCGUAGGCGGUUUGUCGCGUCUGUCGUGAAAGUCCGGGGCUUAACCCCGGAUCUGCGGUGGGUACGGGCAGACUAGAGUGCAGUAGGGGAGACUGGAAUUCCUGGUGUAGCGGUGGAAUGCGCAGAUAUCAGGAGGAACAC
rnacentral:rRNA from 1 species